rnacentral:rRNA from 1 species
GACGAACGCUGGCGGCGUGCUUAACACAUGCAAGUCGAACGGAAAGGCCCUGCUUUUGUGGGGUGCUCGAGUGGCGAACGGGUGAGUAACACGCGAGUAACCUGUCCUUGACUUUGGGAUAACUUCAGGAAACUGGGGCUAAUAUCGGAUAGGAGCUCCUGCUGCACGGUGGGGGUUGGAAAGUUUCGGCGGUUGGGGCUGGACUCGCGGCUUACCAGCUUGUUGGUGGGGUAGUGGCUUACCAAGGCUUUGACGGGUAGCCGGCCUGAGAGGGUGACCGGCCACAUUGGGACUGAGGUACGGCACAGACUCCUACGGGAGGCAACAGUGGGAAAUAUUGCACAAUGGGCGGAAGCCUGAUGCAGCAACGCCGCGUGCGGGAAGACGGCCUUCGGGUUGUAAACCGCUUUCGCCUGUAACGAAGCGUGAGUGACGGUAAUGGGUAAAGAAGCACCGGCUAACUACGUG